GGUUAAGCGACUAAGCGUACACGGUGGAUGCCCUGGCAGUCAGAGGCGAUGAAGGACGUGCUAAUCUGCGAAAAGCGCCGGCGAGGUGAUAUGAACCCUUGACCCGGCGAUGUCCGAAUGGGGAAACCCAGUGUGUUCCGACACACUAUCGUUAACUGAAUACAUAGGUUAACGAGGCGAACCGGGGGAACUGAAACAUCUAAGUACCCCGAGGAAAAGAAAUCAACCGAGAUUCCCCCAGUAGCGGCGAGCGAACGGGGAGCAGCCCGGAGUCUGAAUCAGCUUGUGUGUUAGUGGAACGGUCUGGAAAGUCCGACGGUACAGGGUGAUAGUCCCGUACACGAAAAUGCACAUGCUGUGAACUCGAAGAGUAGGGCGGGACACGUGGUAUCCUGUCUGAAUAUGGGGGGACCAUCCUCCAAGGCUAAAUACUCCUGACUGACCGAUAGUGAACCAGUACCGUGAGGGAAAGGCGAAAAGAACCCCGGCGAGGGGAGUGAAAAAGAACCUGAAACCGUGUACGUACAAGCAGUGGGAGCACCUUCGGGUGUGACUGCGUACCUUUUGUAUAAUGGGUCAGCGACUUAUAUUCUGUAGCAAGGUUAACCGUAUAGGGGAGCCGAAGGGAAACCGAGUCUUAACUGGGCGUUAAGUUGCAGGGUAUAGACCCGAAACCCGGUGAUCUAGCCAUGGGCAGGUUGAAGGUUGGGUAACACUAACUGGAGGACCGAACCGACUAAUGUUGAAAAAUUAGCGGAUGACCUGUGGCUGGGGGUGAAAGGCCAAUCAAACCGGGAGAUAGCUGGUUCUCCCCGAAAGCUAUUUAGGUAGCGCCUCGUGAACUCAUCUUCGGGGGUAGAGCACUGUUUCGGCUAGGGGGCCAUCCCGGCUUACCAACCCGAUGCAAACUACGAAUACCGAAGAAUGUUAUCACGGGAGACACACGGCGGGUGCUAACGUCCGUCGUGAAGAGGGAAACAACCCAGACCGCCAGCUAAGGUCCCAAAGUCAUGGUUAAGUGGGAAACGAUGUGGGAAGGCACAGACAGCCAGGAUGUUGGCUUAGAAGCAGCCAUCAUUUAAAGAAAGCGUAAUAGCUCACUGGUCGAGUCGGCCUGCGCGGAAGAUGUAACGGGGCUAAACCAUGCACCGAAGCUGCGGCAGCGACGCUUAUGCGUUGUUGGGUAGGGGAGCGUUCUGUAAGCCGUUGAAGGUGUGCUGUGAGGCAUGCUGGAGGUAUCAGAAGUGCGAAUGCUGACAUAAGUAACGAUAAAGCGGGUGAAAAGCCCGCUCGCCGGAAGACCAAGGGUUCCUGUCCAACGUUAAUCGGGGCAGGGUGAGUCGACCCCUAAGGCGAGGCCGAAAGGCGUAGUCGAUGGGAAACAGGUUAAUAUUCCUGUACUUGGUGUUACUGCGAAGGGGGGACGGAGAAGGCUAUGUCAGCCGGGCGACGGUUGUCCCGGUUUAAGCAUGUAGGCGGAGGUUCCAGGUAAAUCCGGUACCUUGUUAACGCUGAGGUGUGAUGACGAGGCACUACGGUGCUGAAGUGAUAAAUGCCCUGCUUCCAGGAAAAGCCUCUAAGCAUCAGGUAACACGAAAUCGUACCCCAAACCGACACAGGUGGUCAGGUAGAGAAUACCAAGGCGCUUGAGAGAACUCGGGUGAAGGAACUAGGCAAAAUGGUGCCGUAACUUCGGGAGAAGGCACGCUGAUAUGUAGGUGAAGUCCCUGCGGACGGAGCUGAAAUCAGUCGAAGAUACCAGCUGGCUGCAACUGUUUAUUAAAAACACAGCACUGUGCAAACACGAAAGUGGACGUAUACGGUGUGACGCCUGCCCGGUGCCGGAAGGUUAAUUGAUGGGGUUAGCGGCAACGCGAAGCUCUUGAUCGAAGCCCCGGUAAACGGCGGCCGUAACUAUAACGGUCCUAAGGUAGCGAAAUUCCUUGUCGGGUAAGUUCCGACCUGCACGAAUGGCGUAAUGAUGGCCAGGCUGUCUCCACCCGAGACUCAGUGAAAUUGAACUCGCUGUGAAGAUGCAGUGUACCCGCGGCAAGACGGAAAGACCCCGUGAACCUUUACUAUAGCUUGACACUGAACACUGGUCCUUGAUGUGUAGGAUAGGUGGGAGGCUUUGAAGCGUGGACGCCAGUCUGCGUGGAGCCGUCCUUGAAAUACCACCCUUUAAUGGCUGGUGUUCUAACGUAGACCCGUGAUCCGGGUUGCGGACAGUGUCUGGUGGGUAGUUUGACUGGGGCGGUCUCCUCCCAAAGAGUAACGGAGGAGCACGAAGGUUGGCUAAUCCUGGUCGGACAUCAGGAGGUUAGUGCAAUGGCAUAAGCCAGCUUGACUGCGAGCGUGACGGCGCGAGCAGGUGCGAAAGCAGGUCAUAGUGAUCCGGUGGUUCUGAAUGGAAGGGCCAUCGCUCAACGGAUAAAAGGUACUCCGGGGAUAACAGGCUGAUACCGCCCAAGAGUUCAUAUCGACGGCGGUGUUUGGCACCUCGAUGUCGGCUCAUCACAUCCUGGGGCUGAAGUAGGUCCCAAGGGUAUGGCUGUUCGCCAUUUAAAGUGGUACGCGAGCUGGGUUUAGAACGUCGUGAGACAGUUCGGUCCCUAUCUGCCGUGGGCGCUGGAGAAUUGAGGGGGGCUGCUCCUAGUACGAGAGGACCGGAGUGGACGCAUCACUGGUGUUCGGGUUGUCAUGCCAAUGGCACUGCCCGGUAGCUAAAUGCGGAAGAGAUAAGUGCUGAAAGCAUCUAAGCACGAAACUUGCCCCGAGAUGAGUUCUCCCUGAGACCUUGAGUCUCCUGAAGGAACGUUGAAGACGACGACGUUGAUAGGUCGGGUGUGUAAGCGCAGCGAUGCGUUGAGCUAACCGAUACUAAUGAACCGUGAGGCUUAACCUU
rnacentral:rRNA from 1 species